UACGUAGGUGGCAAGCGUUGUCCGGAAUUAUUGGGCGUAAAGCGCGCGCAGGCGGUCCUUUAAGUCUGAUGUGAAAGCCCACGGCUCAACCGUGGAGGGUCAUUGGAAACUGGGGGACUUGAGUGCAGGAGAGAAAAGUGGAAUUCCACGUGUAGCGGUGAAAUGCGUAGAGAUGUGGAGGAACGCCAGUGGCGAAGGCGACUUUUUGGCCUGUAACUGACGCUGAGGCGCGAAAGCGUGGGGAGCAAACAGG
rnacentral:rRNA from 1 species